rnacentral:lncRNA from 1 species
GGGGACUUGGCCUUCAUCUACCCUGAUUGCCCCUCAUUUACCAAACCCUCCCUUGCCUCCUCACUCACUCUCAGCCUUAUCUACUUCCCUCCUGUUUGCUCAGAACUCCGGGUGUUGGGGUGCUGUGUGUUAGUCUCCCUGAGGAGACUGUUACCCAGGGCUUUCCUAACCCUGCCAGAAACCUGAUGGAACCAGGUAGCAAUAAGAAUUAGCCUGUGCCCCAACCAGGGAAGGAGUGGCCCCUUGAGGACCUGGGAGAGCAUCUCCUUGUCACUUGCUUAUUCAGACUCCUAAUAAUAGGGAAACAGAGACAGCAGUAAUCUCCUUCCAAUGACCCCACUGCCUGGUGAGGCCAGGGAAAGGCAGCUGGGUGGAAUCCAUAUGAUUGGCUUUGUGCUGGCCCUGGUGUCUUCUGCUCUGUUGACUGACAUCUGACAUGUGUUUGUCACCCUCAGAAUGCGGGGUUCGCUCAGUAAGACGUCAGAGCAGGAUUGUGGGUGGGUCGACCGCCUCACCAGGAGACUGGCCCUGGCAGGUCAGCCUGCACGUCCAAGGUAUCCAUGUCUGCGGAGGCUCCAUCAUCACCCCCGAGUGGAUUGUGACAGCCGCCCACUGUGUGGAAGAGUAUGCCUUCAUUCCGUGAAGUCUGGGGUAGUAGAGUGGGGUCACAUGGCCCAGACAUUUGGGGUUGGAAUAUGGCUCUUCUACCAUGUGACCCACACCAAGCAGUGUGGAAGCUCCGAUGCCUGUUGGGGUGACAGUGCUGUUUUAGAUGUCUCAAUGUCUCUUUGCCUGUUGCUACCACACAGGAAUACCCUCCUUUUCUUCCUCCCAGGCACUGCUGGGAAGUUAGGGAAGCUAUCUCUCCUGGGAGUCUACCUUCCUCCCUCAUACAUCCCAGAUUCUGAGGUUCCUCUGGUAGUUGAAGCUAAAAGUUAAAAACAAAAACAAAAACAAAACAACAACAACAAAAC